UGACCCAUAGUAUAAUUGGCAGUACAGCGGAUUUUGGUUCCGUUAGUCUAGGUUCGAGUCCUAGUGGGUCAG
rnacentral:tRNA from 1 species